rnacentral:rRNA from 1 species
UGGAGGAAUACCGAUGGCGAAGGCAGCCAUCUGGCCUAAUACUGACGCUGAGGUACGAAAGCAUGGGGAGCAAACAGGAUUAGAUACCCUGGUAGUCCAUGCCGUAAACGAUGUCUACUAGCCGUUGGGGCCUUUGAGGCUUUAGUGGCGCAGCUAACGCGAUAAGUAGACCGCCUGGGGAGUACGGUCGCAAGACUAAAACUCAAAUGAAUUGACGGGGGCCCGCACAAGCGGUGGAGCAUGUGGUUUAAUUCGAUGCAACGCGAAGAACCUUACCUGGCCUUGACAUACUAAGAACUUUCCAGAGAUGGAUUGGUGCCUUCGGGAACUUAGAUACAGGUGCUGCAUGGCUGUCGUCAGCUCGUGUCGUGAGAUGUUGGGUUAAGUCCCGCGACGAGCGCAACCCUUUUCCUUAUUUGCCAUCGGGUAAUGCCGGGAACUUUAAGGAUACUGCCAGUGACAAACUGGAGGAAGGCGGGGACGACAUCAAGUCAUCAUGGCCCUUACGGCCAGGGCUACACACGUGCUACAAUGGUCGGUACAAAGGGUUGCUACCUCGCGAGAGGAUGCUAAUCUCAAAAAGCCGAUCGUAGUCCGGAUCGCAGUCUGCAACUCGACUGCGUGAAGUCGGAAUCGCUAGUAAUCGCGGAUCAGAAUGCUGCGGUGAAUACGUUCCCGGGCCUUGUACACACCGCCCGUCACACCAUGGGAGUUUGUUGCACCAGAAGUAGGUAGUCUAACCGUAAGGAGGACGCUUACCACGGUGUGGCCGAUGACUGGGGUGAAGUCGUAACAAGGUAACCGUAAAUC